rnacentral:lncRNA from 1 species
AUUGAGAAAUUUGUUGAAAUUUGAUGUGAGGAAGAAAGACCUUUUUGUUCCUUGUCUUGUAUGUCCUUUGGCUAAGCAGCGAAGACUUUCAUUUGCUUCUCACAAUCAUUUAUCUCCUGCUGCUUUUGAUCUCAUUCAUUAUGAUGUUUGGGGACCCUACAAUGUUGCUACACAUGCUGGUUACAAGUAUUUUUUGACGUUGGUUGAUGAUUGUACAAGAUUUACUUGGGUGUAUUUGAUCAAGCAAAAAUAUGAUGUUGUCUUUAUCAUUCCCAUAUUCUUCUCCCAUAUGGAGACUCAAUUUAACAAAGUAAUAAAGUGCUUUAGAUCUGAUAAUGCUAAGGAGCUCAGUUUUACAGAUUUCUUUAAUUCCAAGGGUGUAAUUCAUCAAUAUUCAUGUGUGGAAAGGCCAGAACAGAAUUCUGUGGUUGAAAGGAAACAUCAACACCUUCUCAAUGUCGCUCGUGCAUUAUUUUUUCAAUCUAGAGUCCCUAUUCAAUUUUGGGGAGAAUGCAUCCUUACUGGUACCUUUCUAAUAAAUCGAACUCCAUCACCAAUUUUACAAAACAAGACUCCUUUUGUUUGCUUAUACAAUUCCC